rnacentral:lncRNA from 1 species
UCCGAGUUGAUGCUCCAUAUGUCGGGUCUGGUCCUAAAAAGUUUAAAACCCAAAAUCGAUUUGUCGAACACCAAACAGUACGAGCUAUAGCUUUAUGUGGAUAAACCACCAGUACAGUAGUGUAGAUAAAUUGCCAAUACAUGCAGACAAGCUGCCAAUAGCGAUAAUGUAGAUAAACUACCAAUAGUGUAGACAAGCCACUAGUAAUGCAGACAAGUUGCCAAUAAUGUGAUAAAAUCUCCAAUCUCCUCGGUACUCUUGGUGUAGUGCACUAACAACAAUAUUGCGGACUCUAACUGUCGCUAGUACUUCGUGGAACUCCUCCGUCAACCACAAUAUCCCACGCUAUGCAUAUGUAGUAUGUCAUACAAUCAUUGAGUAAAUCAUGCUUUUAGAUCAAUUUUGGUACAAUGGAAAGCAUAACAUGCUUACGGUAAUAUAUUCAAUACAAUGGCAUACUUAACAUGCUUACGGUAACAUUUUCAGUACAUGAAUUUCAUACUUUCAGUCAAUUAGUAACAAUGGCACCAAUGGUAUGUAUCAUACAUACAACAAGCAUUACAGUCAAGCAAGCUUAAUACAUAGAUCAAUCGGUGACUCAAUGAGUCGCAUGUUAUACAAAUAUUCAAUGAACAAUAGCAAUUCAUAUCAUGUCAACACAAUGAAAAUCGUUAUCAAGCAUGUAAUCAUCCCUAAUAAGUGCACCAAACAGUAAUCAGACAUGUCAAAAUUUUUGCAUACACGCAAAUUCAGUAAGGGUUAACCACCCGAUCAACCAUAUGUUACGUACCUUGCUCGGCACCUUUAAAAUCGCUUAUUUGGCCACUCGACCCUGCCCGACCAACAAGCAAAUAUGAAUGAUUUAUCAAAUAUUUUAACAAUUAGCAAUCACUUGUUUAAAGUUAGGAUCCACAUCUCAUUUCACAAAAUCCGCAAUGCUAAUUCGUAAAAUUUCGCAUUUAAGCCUUAAAUGAUCAGUGAUCCAAAAAAAAAACAAUUAAAAUCUUAUUUUUUAAGAUUAGAACUAUCCUUGAAACACCCCUAAGGGUUCGACCACAACAAUGCUAUAAUAGC